GACGAACGCUGGCGGCGUGCCUAAUACAUGCAAGUAGAACGCUGAAGGAGGAGCUUGCUUCUCCGGAUGAGUUGCGAGCGGGUGAGUAACGCGUAGGUAACCUGCCUGGUAGCGGGGGAUAACUAUUGGAAACGAUAGCUAAUACCGCAUAACAGUAGAUGUUGCAUGACAUUUGCUUAAAAGGUGCAAUUGCAUCACUACCAGAUGGACCUGCGUUGUAUUAGCUAGUUGGUGAGGUAACGGCUCACCAAGGCGACGAUACAUAGCCGACCUGAGAGGGUGAUCGGCCACACUGGGACUGAGACACGGCCCAGACUCCUACGGGAGGCAGCAGUAGGGAAUCUUCGGCAAUGGACGGAAGUCUGACCGAGCAACGCCGCGUGAGUGAAGAAGGUUUUCGGAUCGUAAAGCUCUGUUGUAAGAGAAGAACGAGUGUGAGAGUGGAAAGUUCACACUGUGACGGUAUCUUACCAGAAAGGGACGGCUAACUACGUG
rnacentral:rRNA from 1 species